CCUGAUCUUGAAAAAAUUUCAAGAUCUGACCCUGAAACCCUAGAUCUGGUUCCUACAGCUGGGAAUCUCUCUCCACUCCAUCUUAUCCAUCUUUCCUUAUCUGGUCUUUUGAAGUUUAAAUUUGAUUCAAAUUUAAAAUUAAAACUAGAUUUGGGUUGAUUAAAUAAGGGUGGGUGUGAGGCAUUAAAAGAAGAGAUUUCUCUCAUGCACAGAAGAGGGAAGGUAAUACAAAUUAGCACAUGCAGAAGAAGAGAAGCAGAUUAGCGCCUCCCUUUUCUAUGCCCCCCUCCUUUUUCUUGACCCCACA
rnacentral:lncRNA from 1 species